UGAGGAAUAUUGCGCAAUGGGCGAAAGCCUGACGCAGCGACGCCGCGUGGAGGAUGAAGGUCUUCGGAUUGUAAACUUCUGUUAAGUGGGAAGAAAAGCACAAUACUAAUACGAUUGUGAAAUGACUGUACCAUUAGAGAAAGCACCGGCUAACUUCGUGCCAGCAGCCGCGGUAAUACGAAGGGUGCGAGCGUUAUUCGGAUUUAUUGGGCGUAAAGGGUGCGCAGGCGGUAUGGUAAGUCAACUGUUUAAUUUCUCGGCCUAACCGGGAGUCAGCAGUAGAUACUACCAUACUGGAGGGUGGAAGAGAGAAGUGGAAUUCUUGGAGUAGCGGUAAAAUGCGUAGAUCUCAAGAGGAACACCGAUGGCGAAGGCAGCUUCUUGGUCCACACCUGACGCUCAUGCACGAAAGCGUGGGGAGCAAACAGGAUUAGAUACCCCCGUAGUCC
rnacentral:rRNA from 1 species